rnacentral:snoRNA from 1 species
CAGAUGAUGAUAACAUUUGAGCACUGGGUUCUGAUGUUUUGAUGUUGAAUUGAUUGAACACUGAU